rnacentral:rRNA from 1 species
UACGUAGGGUGCAAGCGUUGUCCGGAAUUAUUGGGCGUAAAGAGCUCGUAGGCGGCUUGUCACGUCGGAUGUGAAAGCCCGGGGCUUAACCCCGGGUCUGCAUUCGAUACGGGCUAGCUAGAGUGUGGUAGGGGGAGAUCGGAAUUCCUGGUGUAGCGGUGAAAUGCGCAGAUAUCAGGAGGAACACCGGUGGCGAAGGCGGAUCUCUGGGCCGAUACUGACGCUGAGGAGCGAAAAGCAUGGGGGAGCGAACAGG